GGUUCAAUGGUGUAGUUGGUUAUCACGUCUGUCUCACACCUUUUAAAUGGUGCACAGGAGGCCUCCAGUUCGAGCCUGGAUUGAACCA
rnacentral:tRNA from 1 species